GACGACGCUGGCGGGCGUGCCUAACACAUGCAAGUCGAACGGUCCGGCGCUCAACCGAACCCUCAGUCUAACGUGUAGGGGAAGUUGGAGUGCCGGGUAGUGGCGGACGGGUGAGUAACGCGUGGGCAACCAACCCUGUACAGUGGGAUAACACCGGGGAAACCGGUGCUAAUACCGCAUGACACCUAUAUGGUGCAUACCGUAUAGGUUAAAGGAUUUAACCGGUACAGGACGGGCCCGCGUCCCAUUAGCUAGUUGGUGAGGUAACGGCCCACCAAGGCGACGAUGGGUAGCCGACCUGAGAGGGUGACCGGCCACACUGGGACUGAGACACGGCCCAGACUCCUACGGGAGGCAGCAGUGGGGAAUAUUGCGCAAUGGGGGGAACCCUGACGCAGCGACGCCGCGUGAGCGACGAAGGCCUUCGGGUCGUAAAGCUCUGUUCUUGGGGACGAAGGAAAUGACGGUACCCAAGGAGAAAGCCCCGGCUAACUACGUG
rnacentral:rRNA from 1 species